rnacentral:rRNA from 1 species
CCUACGGGUGGCAGCAGUGGGGGAUAUUGCACAAUGGGGGGAACCCUGAUGCAGCGACGCCGCGUGGGUGAAGAAGCGCCUCGGCGCGUAAAGCCCUGUCAGCAGGGAAGAAAAUGACGGUACCUGAAGAAGAAGACCCGGCUAACGACGUGCCAGCAGCCGCGGGAAUACGUAGGGGGCAAGCGUGAUCCGGAUUUACUGGGUGGCAUGGGGGCGCAGACGGCGUUGCAAGCCAGGAGGGAAAGCCCGGGGCCCCACCCCGGGACUGCUCUUGGAACUGCGUGGCUGGAGUGCAGGAGGGGCAGGUGGAAUUCCUGGUGUAGCGGUGCAAUGCGUAGCUAUCAGGAGGAUCCCCGGUGGCGAAGGCGGCCUGCUGGACUGCAACUGACGUUGCGGCCCGAAAGCGUGGGGAGCAAACAGGAUUAGAUACCCCUGUAGUC